rnacentral:piRNA from 1 species
UUUCCAAAGAUGAGAAAACCAAGCCCAGAC